AGCAAUCAAUGAUGAAGCUAAUUUGUAAUUGCUGAUUUACCUGUGAUUAGCACACAAAUUUUCACCAUCUUUCGGCUGAGAUUGCU